rnacentral:rRNA from 1 species
GCUAAUACCGUAUAACAAUGACAACCGCAUGGUUGUUAUUUAAAAGAUGGUUCUGCUAUCACUAAGAGAUGGUCCCGCGGUGCAUUAGCUAGUUGGUAAGGUAAUGGCUUACCAAGGCGAUGAUGCAUAGCCGAGUUGAGAGACUGAUCGGCCACAAUGGGACUGAGACACGGCCCAUACUCCUACGGGAGGCAGCAGUAGGGAAUCUUCCACAAUGGGCGAAAGCCUGAUGGAGCAACGCCGCGUGUGUGAUGAAGGGUUUCGGCUCGUAAAACACUGUUGUAAGAGAAGAAUGACAUUGAGAGUAACUGUUCAAUGUGUGACGGUAUCUUACCAGAAAGGAACGGCUAAAUACGUGCCAGCAGCCGCGGUAAUACGUAUGUUCCAAGCGUUAUCCGGAUUUAUUGGGCGUAAAGCGAGCGCAGACGGUUAUUUAAGUCUGAAGUGAAAGCCCUCAGCUCAACUGAGGAAUUGCUUUGGAAACUGGAUGACUUGAGUGCAGUAGAGGAAAGUGGAACUCCAUGUGUAGCGGUGAAAUGCGUAGAUAUAUGGAAGAACACCAGUGGCGAAGGCGGCUUUCUGGACUGUAACUGACGUUGAGGCUCGAAAGUGUGGGUAGCAAACAGGAUUAGAUACCCUGGUAGUCCACACCGUAAACGAUGAGUGCUAGGUGUUUGAGGGUUUCCGCCCUUAAGUGCCGCAGCUAACGCAUUAAGCACUCCGCCUGGGGAGUACGACCGCAAGGUUGAAACUCAAAGGAAUUGACGGGGACCCGCACAAGCGGUGGAGCAUGUGGUUUAAUUCGAAGCAACGCGAAGAACCUUACCAGGUCUUGACAUCCCUUGACAACUCCAGAGAUGGAGCGUUCCCUUCGGGGACAAGGUGACAGGUGGUGCAUGGUUGUCGUCAGCUCGUGUCGUGAGAUGUUGGGUUAAGUCCCGCAACGAGCGCAACCCUUAUUACUAGUUGCCAGCAUUCAGUUGGGCACUCUAGUGAGACUGCCGGUGACAAACCGGAGGAAGGUGGGGAUGACGUCAAAUCAUCAUGCCCCUUAUGACCUGGGCUACACACGUGCUACAAUGGCGUAUACAACGAGUUGCCAACCCGCGAGGGUGAGCUAAUCUCUUAAAGUACGUCUCAGUUCGGAUUGUAGGCUGCAACUCGCCUACAUGAAGUCGGAAUCGCUAGUAAUCGCGGAUCAGCACGCCGCGGUGAAUACGUUCCCGGGUCUUGUACACACCGCCCGUCACACCAUGAGAGUUUGUAACACCCAAAGCCGGUGGGGUAACCUUCGGGAGCCAGCCGUCUAAGGUGGGACAGAUGAUUAGGGUGAAGUCGUAACAAGGUAGCCGUAGGAGAACCUGCGGCUGGAUCACCUCCUUUCUA